GAAAUUGGGUGGGACUUCAAAUAGAUAUAUAAGGAUGAGAGAAGUAGACAUUGUAAGGUUUUAGAUUUCUUGUGUCAAAAGGGUCUUGACAAGGUUGGUAAAAUGAGAUGCAACUAAUUCUGUGAGAUGGUUGUUGGGGUUUCCUAUGACCUAAAGAUAAAUUAGAUGAAAGUUAAUUUGAACAAUAGUACAGAUGGUUACCACACC
rnacentral:lncRNA from 1 species